GCUAUCCAGAAGGGACCUUUAAAUAGACAAUUUCAAGGCUUCAUCACAGGGUCCUGCAAUACCUCCACAGGGCUCACAAGAGCAGCAAACUUGGUCCAUCAGCUGGUUGGUGACAGGGGCUUAGCAGAACCUGAGUAGAUGGCCUAAAGCACACAAACAAGAACAGAGGCUUAGAGUGGCACCAGAAAUUGAGACCCCUGCAAUAACAACUGCUUCUGCCCACUGCUCACCUUGCCCACUUGAACUGAACUGUUGCUAUAUGCCUUUACUUCCUAAAAUAAAGAAAAAGAAAAAUGCUGUAACAGAGUCACCAUUUACACUCCCCCUGCAGAGACAAACUGCUGGGACUGACCUGCUCAGGGGAACUCACUCACCUGGGAUGGGGUGCUCCGCCAUGGAUUUUAUCCACCUGCAUCUGAAAGAAAGUCAGGACAAAAGUCAGAGGGCUGCAGGACAACUUCACAGCUCCAGACACCUUGGGUCAACCUAGGAAUACCAUCUAGAGUCCAACUACACCCCACACUACAAAUUUCAAGCCCCCAGGAUUUGUCCUAUCACACCAGACUAUGCAGCAGGGCAGAGCAGCUCCAACACAAAUAUGUGCAGACACCCGUGACACAGGACAGGACAAACAAUGGGGACACAACAGGGACAGAAAUCUCUUGGCAAGAGGAAUGACUGCAAGGACCGAGAGAAUGCAAAAUGAAAUGACUGAGGUGAGACCAAUGGUGAGCUGACGAUGCUCAGAGAGCCCUGGAGGAAGAAGAUGCUAACGGAUUUAUUUCUUCCAAGAACUGCAAAGAUGGAUGCCUGUAAAUCCUGCAGUCAGCAUCCUCUACCUAUGCGCAUAUUCAAGAAGACAUCACAGAUGCUAAGAAUGAUGCCAGUUUUUUGAACGACUCCUCAAAGGGCUACAGUGAAAGACAUGAGACACGCGAACACAUACAAUCUUAUGAACUCCAGGACAUUACAGCCCAUGGCUAGAAAAGAUGGAUGGUGAUAUGGCUGGGAGCAAGGCCUCAGAACAUGUCCUACUCGACGCUUCUGCGAUGUGACUCGGAAACACGGCCGAGCCCGCCAGUAAAAGAACAAAUGAUAUUGGCAUCAUACAGAGAAGUGCGAGUGUUCAAGAACCUACGGCUGAUGCUUGUGGUAAGGGCCUCGAGGGGAAAGAGGCAGAGAUAUCUGAUCCGAGGGACCCCAAAGACACACUAGGUAACACAGUAUACACCGGACAACACAACACAGACUGGAACUGUUCUGCACUGCGCACCCUACAGCUGUUAGCAAAGGCGGUGGCCCCCAACUUAUCUUUUGGAUGACCGGUGAUGUGAGUCCACGCUGGACCUGAAAUGAGUAUGCCUCAGAGCACCUCUGCCACAAUCGCCUGUUAACCUCUCAGUCAGCUGCAAUAAAGUAAACCAAAAACAA